rnacentral:misc_RNA from 1 species
AGAAAACCAAAUUUAUUAUUAUUAUCUGUAAACAAAGUACAACCAGCACAAUUCAGAAAGAAACCCAUGGCAAGAUAUCAUGGGCAUUAACAAAAACCAACACUUCUUAACAACAAAUUCAAACAACUGUGAUUAUAUUACUAUAUAUGCUUCAACAACUCGAAAUAGCCAACGACUUAGAAACCAUGAAUCUUGAUCUGAUCCUUCUUGACAACACCAGCAGUCACAAGGAAAUGAGAAACAUUCUUCCUUUGAUCACCUUGAAGUUGUAUCACUUUGCCAAGUUCCUUAUCCUGCACAACGUUCCCGUUGCAACAGAAUUCCUUUUUCAGAUCUUUGAGGAUUUUUUCGUAACUGAAUUCUUUCCUCAGUCCUUGAACAGUCGUCAAGCUUUUCUUUCCAUUCCUUUGUUGUAUACGAAUAUGAACAUACUCCUUGGCUCCAGGUGCACCGGAGUCCUUAGCCUCAGCAAAUGGAUCGAAAGCAGAUGGGAUCUGGAUGUCGAUAUCAACCAUGUAAAUAGCUUGAAGAGAACUUCUCACGCUCCGAAACUGAAGCUAGGUAAAUUGAUAACAAGAGAGCUUUAGAAAGACUAAUCAAACACUAGAUGAUGAUGUUCUUCAAGA